rnacentral:rRNA from 1 species
UGGGGAAUAUUGCACAAUGGGCGCAAGCCUGAUGCAGCAACGCCGCGUGAACGAUGAAGGUCUUCGGAUCGUAAAGUUCUGUUGCAGGGGAAGAUAAUGACGGUACCCUGUGAGGAAGCCCCGGCUAACUACGGGCCAGCAGCCGCGGUAAUACGUAGGGGGCUAGCGUUAUCCGGAUUUACUGGGCGUAAAGGGUGCGUAGGUGGUCUUUCAAGUCGGUGGUUAAAGGCUACGGCUCAACCGUAGUUAGCCUCCGAAACUGGAAGACUUGAGUGCAGGAGAGGAAAGUGGAAUUCCCAGUGUAGCGGUGAAAUGCGUAGAUAUUGGGAGGAACACCAGUAGCGAAGGCGGCUUUCUGGACUGCAACUGACACUGGGGCACGAAAGCGUGGGUAGCAAACAGG